GUGAAUCAUCGAAUUUUUGAACGCAAAUUGCACUCCCUGGUAUUCAGGGGAGUAUGCCUGUUUGUGGGUCGCUAGAAUAAAAAAUCGAGGCGUCGCUCUUUUUUUUAAGGGUGAUCGUGUAGGAAUUGAGCCGUCUUUUUCAUGUUAAUUCUUGUUAAAAUGGCUUUUAAUUCAUUCAUCCGGUACGAUUAAAGCGUAUUUAAGAUCAAUUUUGAUCAAGAAUGCGUGGUGAUGUAUGAUCGCAUGU
rnacentral:misc_RNA from 1 species